UACGUAGGGUGCAAGCGUUAAUCGGAAUUACUGGGCGUAAAGCGUGCGCAGGCGGUUUUGUAAGUUUGUCGUGAAAUCCCCGGGCUCAACCUGGGAAUGGCGAUGAAGACUGCAAGGCUAGAGUUUGGCAGAGGGGGGUAGAAUUCCACGUGUAGCAGUGAAAUGCGUAGAUAUGUGGAGGAACACCAGCGGCGAAGGCGGCGCUCUGGGCCGGAACUGACGCUGAGGAGCGAAAGCGUGGGUAGCAAACAGG
rnacentral:rRNA from 1 species